rnacentral:rRNA from 1 species
UACGAAGGGUGCAAACGUUGCUCGGAAUCAUUGGGCGUAAAGCGCACGUAGGCGGCCUCAUAAGUCGGAUGUGAAAUCCCUCGGCUCAACCGAGGACGUGCAUCCGAAACUGUGAAGCUCGAGUAUGGAAGAGGGUCGCGGAAUUCCCGGUGUAGAGGUGAAAUUCGUAGAUACCGGGAGGAACACCAGUGGCGAAGGCGGCGACCUGGGCCAAUACUGACGCUGAGGUGCGAAAGCGUGGGGAGCAAACAGG